rnacentral:rRNA from 1 species
UUAGUGGAAGCGUCUGGAAAGGCGCGCGAUACAGGGUGACAGCCCCGUACACAAAAGCGCAUGUGCUGUGAGCUCGAUGAGUAGGGCGGGACACGUGGUAUCCUGUCUGAAUAUGGGGGGACCAUCCUCCAAGGCUAAAUACUCCUGACUGACCGAUAGUGAACCAGUACCGUGAGGGAAAGGCGAAAAGAACCCCGGCGAGGGGAGUGAAAAAGAACCUGAAACCGUGUACGUACAAGCAGUGGGAGCACCCUUUGGGGUGUGACUGCGUACCUUUUGUAUAAUGGGUCAGCGACUUAUAUUCUGUAGCAAGGUUAACCGUAUAGGGGAGCCGGAGGGAAACCGAGUCUUAAYYGGGCGUUAAGUUGCAGGGUAUAGACCCGAAACCCGGUGAUCUAGCCAUGGGCAGGUUGAAGGUUGGGUAACACUAACUGGAGGACCGAACCGACUAAUGUUGAAAAAUUAGCGGAUGACCUGUGGCUGGGGGUGAAAGGCCAAUCAAACCGGGAGAUAGCUGGUUCUCCCCGAAAGCUAUUUAGGUAGCGCCUCGUGAAUUCAUCUCCGGGGGUAG